AGCCCUGCUCUUUGCCAGCGCUUCUCCAUGCUCGGCAUCGUCCUCUGCGAUUGGGCUGGAGUUGCUGGGCAGCAGUGACCUGACCACUGGGCACGCUGCCAUCUGCCAGCUUCUCAAGGACCAGGGCUGUGCCUUUCCCCUCCUGGUACCCAAGGACACAGCACAGGGUCUCUAAACGGCAGCUGCUCGCGAGGCCGCUGCAGGAAUGGUAUAGCCUCUGCUUACCGGCUGCCCGUCUUUUCCUGAGCUGUUCUCUGGGCACAGGUCACAGGAGCUGAAGUUGGCCACAGGGAGGCCUCGGAAGGGCUGUACGGGCAGGUGACUGGGCCAUGAGCUGGAGUACAUGGCCUGGGGGACUUUCCCAAGGUCAACCCAGGAGAUGGGUUUCUAGGACCUUUCCGAGGUGCAGGUCUGGGCCAGCACUGCAGUUGUAGGUUCCAGGGAUCGAACUCAUGACUGCCUGCUUGCAAGGCAGGCGCUUAUGCCUCUGAGCUAAAUCCCCAGCCCCAGCCUGCAGCUAUUUUGAAGACAUCAAAAGGCAUUAUGACAAGGCUUGCUGUGCUUCAGAUGUGGGAAUGACUGAGCCUCUCCUCAAAGCACAACUUUUGACUUGAAAAAAGGCUACGUGGUGGACACAGAGGACUGAGCCUCCUGGGGCUACUGUCCCCCCCGGGACACCUGCUCUCCUCCUGGGCCAUUUCACUCACUCACGGAGUGGGUGGGGAAGAGAACAAGGAGUUGAACUUCAGUUACCCCUGAGAUCUUUGCUUUUAUUAGAAACCAGAAAAUCCUCUUAAGCCGUGCUCAUCUCUUCUCGUCCGGUUCUGAAAAUGCACAGGACCCUUGCUUCUUCCAGCGGGUGACUGGACCCACAUCAGGGGAAUCUAACACCAUAACCGCAGCUCCCCAUUCUGACCCUCACGCUGCUGCAUGAACUCUCUCCUCUCGCCUCAUCUCCCUGGCAAACAAAACUGACCACCGGAAGGGACUUGCCAUCCAUCGAAGUCAGCAUCUAGGGAAGGAAGAGAGCCUUGGACAAGGUGGCUAAUUUUGUCAUCCAUAUUGAACAGCACAUCACUCUGGAGUGACACUGCCCCGGGGGCAAGGGGUGGGUAUUUCACCUUGAUGCCUUAAAUGUCCACCUCCAAAAUUCAAUAAAUUUCAAUUCUCUGUCACUUAAA